UCUUAACCUGACAGCAUUUCUUAUAAACAGACAGAUUGGCCCCACAUUUUCUGUACACUUUUCGCCGUGGGCAUUAUACAUUCAUAACAAGGGGACAAAGAGCUGAACGUAUGUGUUAUUUUUAGCGGAGGCGGAGCGCGGAUGCUUGACGGCCUGGAUGCGAGAGUGUCAAACAGCAGGUGGAGACUGACUGACUGCUGGAGGACACCGAACCGACCACAAUAUAAAGCGCGUUUAAUAUGAACGAGAGGAAAUAUCAGUGACCCGAUCAGCUCUGAAUGCGUGGGACGUGAUAUUGCAAACAAUGGUGGACCCACUGGAACCUGACGACCAGAGUAAAUUCAGAGGGCCUCAGAUUGAAACCCCUGCUGCAGCCUCUGAAGCCCCUUGUCUACCUGAGGCAGGUGAUGAUAGAGAGAAUAAUGUUAGUGUGGAUCCCUGCCCACAGACAGAGCUCAAUACCGAACCCGUACUGAGCUCUCAGGAGCCAAGCCAGCCACAAAGCAGUCAACCGGAAGAGCUAAAACUGCAUUUGGACCUUUACAAUUUUGAUUCGCCAGCUGCAGAAGGCAGCCGAUAUGUACUUACAAGCCCUCGCUCACUUGAGGCAUGUGCACGUUGUGGAGUGAAACCGGUAGAGCUUCUGUCACGACCACUGUCUGAUUUUGCCCGUGAGGCUCCAGGCCGCAGCAUGCGUGUUGCCACAGGAAUGUUUGAGAUAUAUGAGAGAGAUAGACAUGCUAAACUUCGUCACUGCAGAGAAGAGAGAGAGCGGAUUGUCAGAGAGGAGAAGAGACGGAUUCUACAGGCUGCUCUCAACAAUAAUAGUAGUCCACUGGCUUCAGAGAAGUCACAGCAAACUGUAAAUGAUGGAUUGUGUCAGGAGAACAAUAACAGUUUAACUAGUUCUAUCCCAGUCCAAAAACAGUCAAUUGCUUCCAUUGGUGUACCCAAAAAGCAAGCAGCAACACCUAAAAGCACAACACAAGGGUCGGGACAGUUGUCCACCUCCAGCUCUCCUUCUGUCUCUAAAGCUAGUCCACUUAACUCUGCUAAUACUGCUAAAGUAACUUCAGCAAAAAAGUCUAAGUCCUUUGAAGCAGAAUCUCAGAAAAAACCUCAAGGACCAAAGCCUUUAGCAAUGCAAAAGUCAUUGCAUUCAGCUUCAGCAGGUCAAGGUCCAAAGAAAGUCUCUAGUACUCCAACAAAAACUGCAAAUACUUUCCCCAGAUCAGUACCUAAACCAUCUUCUUUUCCAAGGACACCAACCUCCCUUGCUCCAAUAGUGUCAAAAUCUGCUAUCCAGAGUCCAGCCAAUAACAUCACUAGUUCAUUUGCACAACACAACGGACACGCUAUUUCCAAAUCAAAGGUUAGAUGCAGAAGCCACUCUUUGGAGUCUUUGCAAAGGAGGCGUGAAGCAUUUUGCUCCUCUACUGCUUCAACAACUAACACCACAACUACCACUUGUACCUCUUCAGAAUCCGCGUCUUCGUCCUAUAGCUGGGAAGGAACAAGAGAUCACUGGGCUAAGACAUCAGGCCCUCGUGCCCGCACUUUAGCUACCUUUAACUCACUGAUGGGUCGCAGUCUGAGCUUGGGAGACCUUAGUCACUCUCCACAGACAACGCAAAAAGUGGAACGCAUUGUAAAGGAGGUAAAACGCAGGGGACUUAAAGCUGUCCCAGAACGUGACCGGAAGAUUGCUGCAUUGAUGCUAGCCAGGUACCAAGAGGAGGACAUAAUGAGCCAGACACGCUACGUAGCACACCUGCAAUGGGACAGUGAACGGCGAAUAGAGGAGCUGCGUCGAGAACGUGAAGAACGGGAAAAACAGAGAGCUGUGCAGCAGUGUCAGCGUGCAUGGCAGUCACAAGUUUCUACCCGGCAGCGCUGGCUUAACCAGCAGGAGCGAGUGGCUGCAGAAGCGAAACUUCGUCAAGUGGUGGAAAGUGAGGAACGUUGGCGUGAGCUGGCCGAGCAACAAGAGCGCAGCAGACUGCAGAAACUGCAACAAGCAGCUCGUGAGGAGAGACACAAGAAAGCGCUACAAGAACAGAACCUUAAAGCUCUGGAGGAAGAGCGAGCAGCCAUACUUGAGCAGGAGAAGCUUCUUCUGAAGGAGAAACUGACCAUUGCUGAGCUGAAGCGGCAGGAGCGGGAGCACCAAAGUCAAGAGGAGCGGCGCGGACUCAACCGCGCUGAGAAGAGGCGGCAUGCAGCUCUCAUCCAAGAGAUUGCGCGACGUGAAGUGGACGAACGGGAAGAAGCAAGGAGGUCGGCAGAAGAGAAGCUGAGUAGGUCUUUGGAGAACUACGAACAGAUACAGGAACGACGUGGGCAAGAGAUAAAGGAGAAGGCUAAGCGAGAAGAGAAGCAGAUCCAGAAGGCACGACGGGCCGCUGAGCUACGUGAACAGCAGCAGAAGGAACACACAGAGGCAAAGGCUCGGGAAGCCGAAAAACGAGCACAGCAAGCAAUACAAAUAGCUGAAGAACGGGCACGGGAGAAGGCCCAGCGUGCAGUGCUGAGCAGGCAGGAAAAGGAACGACUUCAAAGACUUAAUCGUCAGCGUGUAGAGGAGGAGGAGAAACAGCGGCGGUUAGAAUUGCUGCAGUCCAUUGAGCGCAAACUGGAAAAAAGCGAACAGAUUUUCAGAGAAAAGCGUGCAGUGUUGGAAAGCGCCAGAUCGGUGGCUCGUGCCUCUUUCCACGUGCGAGACCGUGUUCGGGAAGAAACUAAUAUGCGCACAUUUGACAAGAUGGCCCUGGAAGCGCAGUUAAAUGCAAGUUUGGUUGAAAAGUGAGCCAUUCAGCUGUGCAUCUUUUGCUUUUUAAAUGCACAUGUGUUUAGAAGUAAGCUGUGCUUGAGCCUACAUACUAGUCUCAUGACUAAACUACAACAAAAUUGAUGGACUUGCCCUUCAAGUGUUGUAACCAACUUCAUAUAUUUAUUUAUUUCCUCAUGAUGCUGCAUCAUUUUUAUCAUGACAUUUAAAGAAAUAUUUUUAUGUAUUUGUACUAUUUAAAAGCUAAUCAAAGAACUUUCUAUAAUGUUUGGAUGGUCAAAUGUUGGAAAUGAUCGUUUUUGCAACUUGGCUGGCUUGUUGCAUUGAGAACUGUAGAUAAAGAGGUCAUUGUUUACAAGCAAGCUUGGCAUUAUGGCAACAGUGAUGGCUUUAUUUCUUAGAGGAAAUAAAGAAGGAAAGGGGACAGAAAUCUUUUAUAAGAGUAAAUUAUUUUAUGGAGACUCUACUUUAAGGGAUUUAGGCUGCAGUAGAGUCAUCAGUGACUUGAACUCUAGUGAAAUGCUGACAAAGCAUUACAGCCUAGAGUAAGGACAUGUCAACAGAUGAUCUCAGCACAGUGUAAUGAAGCUGAUGAAGCACACAAGUAUUUGGUCAGCAACAGAAUCAUCAGUUUUCAUCAGUCAGUCACAAUGACGUCCCCUGCAUUCCUUCAGGAUUGGGAAUGAAGAAGAUGUUGACAUCCGAGGGCUGAUUUAGUUAAAUAAUCCCUCAGAGGCUGCAAGAGACAUUUCACUUUAAUCACAAGCCCUUAUUCCCUUUGUGACAAUGACUCAGCUAAGCAUGACGUAC